UGCGUAGGCGGUCCUGCAAGUCCGCUGUGAAAGCCCCGGGCUUAACCUGGGAAUGGCAGUGGAAACUAUGGGACUUGAAUCUGGCAGAGGGGGGUGGAAUGCCACGUGUAGCAGUGAAAUGCGUAGAUAUGUGGCGGAACACCGAUGGCGAAGGCAGCCCCCUGGGCUGAGAUUGACGCUCAGGCACGAAAGCGUGGGGAGCAAACAGGAUUAGAUACCCUGGUAGUCCACGCCCUAAACGAUGAUCACUAGGUGUUGGGGAAGCGAUUUCUCAGUACCGCAGCUAACGCGUGAAGUGAUCCGCCUGGGGAGUACGGUCGCAAGAUUAAA
rnacentral:rRNA from 1 species